AUUGAACGCUGGCGGCAGGCCUAACACAUGCAAGUCGAACGAGUGGCGGACGGGUGAGUAAUGUCUGGGAAACUGCCUGAUGGAGGGGGAUAACUACUGGAAACGGUAGCUAAUACCGCAUACUCUCGGUUGUGCCCAGAUGGGAUUGGCGAGUAGGCGGGGCAAGGGCUCACAUGGGCGACGACCCCUAGCCGGUCUGAGAGGAUGACCAGCCACAUUGGAACGAGAACCCGGUCCAGACUCCUCCGGGAGGAAGCAGGGGGGAAUAUUGCACAAUGGGGGCAGGCCUGAAGCAGCCAUGCCGCGUGUGUGAAGAAGGCCUUCGGGUUGUAAAGCACUUUCAGCGGGAAGGCGUUACCCGCAGAAGAAGCACCGGCUAACUCCGUGCCAGCAGCCGCGGUAAUAC
rnacentral:rRNA from 1 species